GGUGGGUGAGAUGGGUGAGGCUUGUGAUAGAUGGAUGGAUGACACCAGUUAAGCCUCUCCUAGGCAGCCAUAGCCUGAUGACAUGUUGAUCAUGAUCAUAAUCUUGGUGGUGGCAACUUAUUCCUUCCCAUGAGCAACAGUCAGAGGAAGCAGACCAAUUCAAUGGCGGCGAUACUUUAAAAUCCAAUGACAAGAGAGAUUCACUGUCCACUCUGUUACAGGCAGAGGCUCCAAAGCAGGGCAGCAGAAUCAGAAGAAAUAAUUGCCCCCAAAAGAGAAGAAACUGUGUUCUUGGUCUUUGGCUCGGUGUUCCUGUGAGCUCCUCCUUCUCGUCCUUGGUGGUCUCUUUGUUUUCUUUCAUGGCGUUAAUCAGCCCCUGAUGGAAUCAUAAUCAUUGAAUGUUGGUACAAGAAAACCCAGAGUUCCUAUUCUGAAUCCCCACUAAAUUUUGCUCUAAAUAUGCACCGCUUCCCAAUAUGUUGUAAUAUUAAUGCCACAAACCCCAUAAGAAAAUCAAACAAGAGGUUCUCAAUACUUAAAAAGGUGUAUCAGUAAGAUCUUUGAGGAGCUGGUAAUUCUGGAUGAGGGCAAGAGAGAUGCAUAGUUGGAGGGCCGCAUAAUCUUGGAUUCCCUUCAAAGCUGGAGAUGGUAAAAUUUAGAAACUGGCCUCCGGAUGGUACAGGUCCCUGAAGAUCAUUGUAUGCACACUGAAAGAAGAGAGCAAAUGCAAACUCUGGAAAGAACCAGGGAUUUGACCAGAUAGAUGGUUGUGAGAGAUAUUUAAUUUCUCUAAGUUGGUGAGGUUAGAAAUCUGAUCAGGGAUGUUGCCAGAGAAGUUGUUAGAGCUCAAGUCAAGGACCUGGAGAUUAGAGAGGGAGGAAAACAAGUCACUUGGGAGAAGACCAGUUAAGCCUCUUCCAGGAAGCCAUAGACCGACAACGCGUUGAUGACCAUCAUCUUGGCGGCAACUUAUGCCUUCCCAUGAGCAACAGUCAA